CGGAGGGUGCAAGCGUUAUCCGGAUUCACUGGGUUUAAAGGGUGCGUAGGCGGAUAGGUAAGUCCGUGGUGAAAUCCUGCAGCUUAACUGCAGAACUGCCAUGGAUACUCUCUAUCUUGAAUGUCGUGGAGGUUAGCAGAAUAUGUCAUGUAGCGGUGAAAUGCUUAGAUAUGACAUAGAAUACCCAUUGCGAAGGCAGCUAACUACGCGAUAAUUGACGCUGAUGCACGAGAGCGUGGGGAUCAAACAGGAUUAGAUACCCUGGUAGUCCACGCCCUAAACGAUGAUUACUCGACAUUGGCGAUACACAGUCAGUGUCUGAGCGAAAGCAUUAAGUAAUCCACCUGGGAAGUACGAUCGCAAGAUUG
rnacentral:rRNA from 1 species